UCUAAUUUACCCAAAAUGUAUUUUUAAACCAAUUUUAAAAUCGAAAGAAUACCAAAUUAAAUUGUGUUUUAUUAUCCGCAUCAUCAUUAUUGUUAUACUUCAGAGCGUUGACAACAAAGAUCCCCACAAAAAACAUGUGAAGUCUUUGUUGUUGUUGCUGUUGUGUGCAGACAAUGAUGAUCUAACAUUUCAUUGCUGGCAUAUUUUUAGGCUCUGCGCUUGUAUGGGUGUGUGUGUGUCUGUGUUUUAUUGCAUAAAAUAAACAUUUGUGACAUAUGUUAGGCAAUGCAGAAGAAGGACAAAAAGCAAAUUAAAAUAAAAUAUGAAUAAAACAUUUGUGAUUUGUGAAUUGUA